rnacentral:pre_miRNA from 1 species
CGUGCGUGUGUGUGUGUGUGUGUGUGUGUGUGUGUGUGCACGCACGCGCGCAUUGCCUGCCACCC